AGCAGUGGCAGUACCACCCUGAACGCACCUGAUCUCGUCUGAUCUUGGAAGCUAAGCAGCGUCGGGCCUGAUAAGGACUUGGAUGGGAGACUGCCUGGGAAUAUCGGGUACUGUAGGCU
rnacentral:rRNA from 1 species